rnacentral:misc_RNA from 1 species
AUUGCUUCCUCCGUCUUCUUCUGCGGCUGCCGCGGCAGCCAGCGCCGCUAUGUUAAUGAUUGGUACUCUUCCGACAACAGAUCAAAAUAAUCCUAUUCGUAGAAACCGUAGAAACGCCGGUGACCGUUCCCCGAUUAACCCUGUCAUCGUACUUCGAGGAGGAGGAGGAGCAGGACAAUCCGAUGGUGGUGAGAACGAGGGUAGUAGACGCGGAUUCGAGUUGUAUUAUGACGAUGGAAGUGGGUCUGGGUUGAGAACCGUUGCCGCCGAGCAUGUCGGAUUUUUUACUGGGAUCUGGGUUUGAAAGGUUAUUGGAUCAGAUAUCGCAGAUUGAAAUCAAUGGGCUAGGCAGAUACGAGCAUCCGCCGGCGACGAAAUCGGCGAUUGAGUCGAUGCCAACUGUAAUUAUAAGCGAGUGGCACACGUCCAUGGAGUUGCACUGUGCGGUGUGUAAAGAGCCCUUCGAAUUGGAAUCGGAGGCGCGAGAAAUGCCUUGUAAGCACAUAUAUCAUUCGGAUUGUAUACUUCCAUGGCUCUCACUUCGAAAUUCAUGCCCAGUUUGCCGGCACGAGUUGCCUGGGGAUGAUGAAUCGAGUAACGGGCAGGUCUUGGGGGAGAAUAAUAAUGAUAAUGAGGAAGCGGCUGUGGGAUUGACGAUCCGGGAGGUGGGUAUGCAGUUGGGAGGUUUACGGGAGCAAGGAGUGGGACGAGAGAGCUGCCAAUGGUUUAUACUGAGAUGGACGGUGGGUUUAAUAAUGGGGGUUUGCCUAGGAGCAUAUCAUGGGGGCCAAGGGGAGGGGGCAGAAGUAGAGAGAACGGAGGUGGCGGCGGAGGGGGUGGUGGUAGUUGGCUUGGUUUGGGUCGGGCUUUAAGGCAUUGGUUUACUUGUUUUGGUGGUGAGGUUUCUGGAGAGAACUCAAAUUCAGAUUCGAGAAUUAGGAGGGCAACAAGUAGGUCUUUUUGGCAUUUUAAUGACACUGCUUCUUCAAGGAGGGGAAGGUUCUGGGAUGUGGAGGUUAAUGGUGGAAGAAGGAGAAGGUGAA